rnacentral:tRNA from 1 species
CGGGGCGUAGCUUAGCCCGGUAGAGCGCUGGUUUUGGGAACCAGAGGUCGCAGGUUCAAAUCCUGCCGCCCCGA